rnacentral:rRNA from 1 species
GACGAACGCUGGCGGCGUGCUUAACACAUGCAAGUCGAACGCUGAAGCUUGGUGCUUGCACUGGGUGGAUGAGUGGCGAACGGGUGAGUAAUACGUGAGUAACCUGCCCUUGACUCUGGGAUAAGCCUGGGAAACUGGGUCUAAUACUGGAUACGACAUGCCACUGCAUGGUGGUGUGUGGAAAGGGUUUUACUGGUUUUGGAUGGGCUCACGGCCUAUCAGCUUGUUGGUGGGGUAAUGGCCUACCAAGGCGACGACGGGUAGCCGGCCUGAGAGGGUGACCGGCCACACUGGGACUGAGACACGGCCCAGACUCCUACGGGAGGCAGCAGUGGGGAAUAUUGCACAAUGGGCGGAAGCCUGAUGCAGCGACGCCGCGUGAGGGAUGACGGCCUUCGGGUUGUAAACCUCUUUCAGCACGGAAGAAGCGAGAGUGACGGUACGUGCAGAAGAAACGCCGGCUAACUACGU